UACGAAGGGGCGAGCGUUGUUCGGAUUUACUGGGCGUAAAGGGCGCGUAGGCGGCUUGUCAGUCAGGCGUGAAAGCCCCGGGCUCAACCUGGGAACGGCGCUUGGGACGGCGAGGCUGGAGUUCGGGAGAGGAGAGUGGAAUUCCCAGUGUAGAGGUGAAAUUCGUAGAUAUUGGGAAGAACACCGGUGGCGAAGGCGGCUCUCUGGACCGACACUGACGCUGAGGCGCGAAAGCGUGGGGAGCAAACAGG
rnacentral:rRNA from 1 species